AAUGAACGUUGGCGGCAUGGAUUAGGCAUGCAAGUCGAGCGCGAAACGUAGCAAUACGUGGAGAGCGGCGAAAGGGAGAGGAAUAUGUGGGAACCUACCUUCGGGCCUGGAAUAGCGGCGGGAAACUGCCGGUAAUGCCAGAUAACGUCCCCGGACCAAAGGUGUGAUUCCGCCUGGAGAUGGGCCCACAUCCUAUCAGCUUGUUGGUGUGGUAACGGCGCACCAAGGCUAAGACGGGUAUGGGGUGUGAGAGCAUGCCCCCACUCACUGGGACUGAGACACUGCCCAGACACCUACGGGUGGCUGCAGUCGAGAAUCUUCGGCAAUGAGCGCAAGCUUGACCGAGCGAUGCCGCGUGCGGGAUGAAGGCCCUCGGGUUGUAAACCGCUGUCGUAGGGGAAUAACGGUCGGUGGGUCCUCCCAUCGAUUUGAAUGAUCCUAGGAGGAAGGACGGGCUAAGUUCGUG
rnacentral:rRNA from 1 species